rnacentral:piRNA from 1 species
UGAGAAAUUUUUGUGCUAGAAGGGCCAC